rnacentral:rRNA from 1 species
ACGGGAGGCAGCAGUGAGGAAUAUUGGUCAAUGGACGGAAGUCUGAACCAGCCAAGUCGCGUGAAGGAAGACGGUUCUAUGGAUUGUAAACUUCUUUUGCCCGAGGGUAAAAUGCAGUACGUGUACUGUUUUGCAAGUAUCGGGUGAAUAAGCAUCGGCUAACUCCGUGCCAGCAGCCGCGGUAAUACGGAGGAUGCGAGCGUUAUCCGGAUUUAUUGGGUUUAAAGGGUGCGUAGGCGGGCUGUUAAGUCAGCGGUGAAAGUUUGCGGCUCAACCGUAAAAUUGCCGUUGAAACUGGUGGUCUUGAGUGUAAACGAGGUAAGCGGAAUGUGACGUGUAGCGGUGAAAUGCUUAGAUAUGUCCCAGAACUCCGAUUGCGAAGGCAGCUUACCAGCAUACAACUGACGCUGAGGCACGAAAGCGUGGGUAUCAAACAGGAUUAGAUACCCUGGUA